AGUUUAGCAGACUAAGCGUACACGGUGGAUGCCACGGCAGUCAGAGGCGAUGAGACGUGCUAAUCUGCGAAAAGCGCCGGCAAGGUGUCUGAACCCUUGGCCCGGCGAUGUAUUAGAUAGAGCCCAGUGCAAUCCGUUACUAUCGUUAACUGAAUACAUAGGUUAACGAGGCGAACCGGGGAACUGGAAACAUCUAAGUACCCCGAGGAAAAGAAAUCAACCAAGAUUCCCCAGUAGCGGCGAGGCGAACAGAAGAUAGCGAAGUCGGAUGGCGUGGUUAGUGGAAGCGUCUGGAAGUCGCACGUACAGGGUGAAAGUCCCGUACACGAAAAUGCACAGGCUGUGAACUCCAGAAGAGUAGGGCCAGGACACGUGGUAUCCUGUCUGAAUAUGGGGACCAUCCUCAAGGCUAAAUACUCCUGACUGGCCGAUAAGUGAACUAUUUAGGGAAAGGCAGAAAAAGAACCCCGGCGAGGGGAGUGAAAGAACCUGGAAACCGUGUACGUACAAACAGUGGGAGCACCUUCGUGGUGUGACUGCGUACCUUUGUAUAAUGGGUCAGCGACUUAUAUUCUGUAGCAAGUUAACCGUAUAGGGAGCCGAAGGAAACCAGUCUUAACUGGGCGUUAAGUACCCGGUAUAGAACCAAACCCGGUGAUCUAGCCAUGGGCAGGUUGAAGGUUGAGUAACACUAACUGGAGGACCGAACCGACUAAUGUUGAAAAAUUAGCGGAUGACCUGUGGCUGGGGUGAAAGGCCCAAUCAAACCGGGAGAUAGCUGGUUCUCCCAAAGCUAUUUAGGUAGCGCCUCGUGAACUCAUCUUCGGGGUAGAGCACUGUUCGGCUAGGGGCCAUCCCGGCUUACCAACCCGAUGCAAACUACGAAUACCGAAGAAUGUUAUCACAGGAGACACACGGCGGGUGCUAACGUCCGUCGUGAAGAGGAAACAACUAAGACCGCCAGCUAAGGUCCCAAAGUCAUGGUUAAGUGAAACGAUAUUAGGAAGGCCCAGACAGGAUGUUGAAGCACAGAAGCAGCCAUCAUUUAAAGAAAGCGUAAUAGCUCACUGGUCGAGUCGGCCUGCGCGGAAGAUGUAACGAGGCUAAACCAUGCACCGAAGCUGCAGCAGCGACGCAACAUGCGUUGUUGGGUAGGGAGCGUUCUGUAAGCCGUUGAAGGUGGCCUGCCAGGGUUGCUGGAGGUAUCAGAGUGCAGCGAAUGGAUUUAAGUAACGAUAAAGCGGGUGAAAAGCCCGCUCGCCGGAAGACCAAGGUUCCUGUCCAGCAUUAAUCAGGGCAGGGUGAAUUCGACCCUAAGGCUGGGCCGAAGGCGUAAUCGAUGGAAACAAAGGUUAAUAUUCCUGUACUUUGGUAUUUACUGCGAAGGGGGACAGAGAAAGGCUAUAUUAGCCGGGCGACGGUUGUCGGUUUAAGCAUGUAGGCGGAGGUUCAGGUAAAUCCGGUACCUUUUAACGCUGAGGUGUGAUGACGGGCACUACGGUGCUGAAGUAACAAAUGCCCUGCUUCGGGGGAAAAGCCUCUAAGCAUCAAGUAACACGAAAUCGUACCCCAAACCGACACAGGUGGUCAAUUGAAAUACCAAGGCGCUUGAGAGAACUCAGGUGAAGGAACUGACAAAAAAUCGUGCUGCUAACUUCGGAAAGGCACGCUGAUAUAGGUGAAGCCCCUGCGGGGUGGAGCUGAAAUCAGUCGAAGAUACCAGCUGGCUGCAACUGUUUAUUAAAAACACAGCACUGUGCAAACACGAAAGUGGACGUAUACGUGUGACGCCAGUGCCGGAAGGUUAAUUGAUGGGGUUAGCGGCAACGCGAAGCUCUUGAUCGAAGCCCCGGUAAACGGCGGCCGUAACUAUAACGGUCCCUAAGGUAGCGAAAUUCCCUUGUCGGGUUUCAAGUUCCGACUCAAAAUGAAUGGCGUAAUGAUGGCGAGCUGUCUCCACCCGAGACUCAGUGAAGAGUGAACUCGCUGUGAAGAUGCAGUGUAUUACCCGCAGCAAGACGGAAAGGCCCCCGUGAACCUUUACUAACAAGCUGACACUGAACACUGGUCCUUGAUGUGUAGAAGGAUCAGGUCGGAGGCACGGAAGCGUGGACGCCGGUCUGCGUGACCGACGCGAAGCCUACCGCUAAUAUGGCUGGGUGUUCUAGCUGAACCCGUUACCCAGGUUGCGGACCGUCAUCUAGAUGAUGGAUUGACUGGGCUGAUCUGCCAAAGUAACGAGGCACGAAGGAUUUAGCUAAUCUGGUCGGACAUCGAGUUAGCGGAGUGCAAUGGCGCCAAGCUAGCUUGACUGCGAGGUGACGGCUCGAGCAGGUGCGAAAGCAGGUCAUAAUGAUCCGGUAGUUCAUGAAUGGAAGGGCAUCGCUCAACGGAUAAAGGUACUCCGGGACCAACAGGCUGAUACCGCCCAAGAGUUCAUAUCGACGGCGGUGUUUGGCACCUGGAUGUCGGCUCAUCACAUCCUGGGGCUGAAGUAGGUCCUGGCGGUAUGGCUGUUCGCCAUUUAAAGUGGUACGCGAGCUGGGUUUAGAACGUCGUGAGACAGUUCGGUCCCUAUCUCGCCGGGGCGCUGGAGAAUUGAGGGGGCUGCUCCUAGUACGAGAGGACCGGAGUGGACGCAUCACUGGUGUUCGGGUUGUCGCCCAAAGGCACUGCCCGGUAGCUAAAUGCGGAAGAGAUAAGUGCUGAAAGCAUCUAAGCACGAAACUUGCCCCGAGAUGAGUUCUCCCUGAGACUUAAAGUCUCCUGAAGGAACGUUAAAGACGAUGACGUUGAUAGGUCGGGUGUGUAAGCGCAGCGAUGCGUUGAGCUAACCGAUACUAAUGAACCGUGAGGCUUAACCUA
rnacentral:rRNA from 1 species